GCUCAGUAACACGUGGAUAACAUGCCCUUAGGAGGGGGAUAAUCUCGAGAAAUUGAGGAUAAUACCCCAUAGGCCAUGAAUGCUGGAAUGCUUUAUGGCCCAAAGCUCCGGCGCCUAAGGAUUGGUCUGCGGCCUAUCAGGUUGUAGUGGGUGUAACGGACCCACUAGCCUAUGACGGGUAUGGGCCUUGAGAGAGGGAGCCCAGAGAUGGACUCUGAGACACGAGUCCAGGCCCUACGGGGCGCAGCAGUCGCGAAACCUUCACACUGGGGGAAACCCUGAUGAGGGAAUUCCUAGUGCCUGCAUUUUUUGUAGGCUUUUAUCUAGUGUAGAUAGCUAGAAGAAUAAGGGCCGGGUAAGACGGGUGCCAGCCGCCGCGGUAAUACCCGCGGCCCAAGUGGUGGUCGAUAUUAUUGAGUCUAAAACGUCCGUAGCCGGUUCAGUAAAUCUUUGGGUAAAUCGGCCAGCUUAACUGACCGAAUUCCGAAGAGACUGCUGAACUUGGGACCGGGAGAGGCCAGAGGUACUUCUGGGGUAGGGGUAAAAUCCUGUAAUCCUAGAAGGACCACCGGUGGCGAAGGCGUCUGGCUAGAACGGAUCCGACGGUGAGGGACGAAGCCCUGGGGCGCAAACGGGAUUAGAUACCCCGGUAGUCCAGGGUGUAAACGCUGCAGGCUUGGUGUUGGGGGUCCUUCGGGGGCGCCCAGUGCCGGAGAGAAGUUGUUAAGCCUGCUACUUGGGGUGUACGUCCGCAAGGAUGAAACUUAAAGGAAUUGGCGGGGGAGCAC
rnacentral:rRNA from 1 species